rnacentral:pre_miRNA from 1 species
AAAGACUCAAUUCUUGGGUUUCCGUGUCCAACGUUUAACCGUCCAUGUUAUAUGAAAUUUUUUUAUGAUUAGUAAUUUCAUUAUUGCUAGAUAAUAAAACAUGAAUAAUACUUUAUGCAUGACUUAUAUUUUUAAUUUUUAAAUUUUUUUUUUAAAUAAGACGGAUGGUCAAAUAUUAGACACGAAAAUUUAGG